GGGUCCUACGGGGUAGGUGACUUGCUAAGUGCCUUCCUCUGAUCUCAGAGAGUUGAAAAUAUUUUUUCCAUCUGUCUCUGUGCACUUUCCAGAGGUCUGUGUUUACAAAUAGAGUGCAGAGUCUGAGAUACUGUUUAGUAUAAUUCCAAUUCUUUUAUGGCCUUAUUUAUGCCUUUCAGCAAUAUAGACCAGGACAGAAUCAUCACUGAAAGCUUCAUCUGUUUGGAAUCAAAAAUGUGAAAGACCUGGAAAUUAAAUCAAAAGAAUAGCAGAAUAAUCCUCCUCACUGACAAAUGAGAAACAACAUUUCACUCUGUGGCCCAGGCUGGAGUACGGUGGCACAAUCAGCUCGCUGCAGCCUUGAACUCCUAGGCUCAAGCAGUCCUUCCACCUCAACCUCCCAAGUAGCUGAGACUACAGGUGAGCGCCGUCUCAACCCUCAUCCAGCUAAUUUUAAAUUUUAUUUUAUUUUUUCUAUAUUUUAUAGAGAUGGGGUCUCUCUAUGUUGCCCAGUUUGGUCUCAAACUCCUAGCCUCAAGCCCAUUCUCUUGCCUUGGCCUGCUAAAUUGCUGGGGUUACAGGCCGGAACCACCAUGCCCAACUUGUUAGUGUCUUCAUUAAAACUUUCAAAUUUCAGAGAAAAAUAUAUUAAUCAAGUCUCAGAAUAUCAUCAAAAUUAUUAAGGCAAGCUGUCUUUCAAAUAAAUUCCAAGAAAUUUUUCAUUUAAACUGCUUUACUUUGUUUUCUUUGUAAACAUGUACAGCUUAAUUAGAGUGUGUUUGACUUAACAUCUGGAUAAAUGUUACAUUUUCGCAAAUUGGCCUAUAUGGACAAAAAAGAAAUCUGUUAUUAGUAUAUUACACAAUAACUAAGUCGUAUGUGGUUUUAAACAACAGCCAGGGGAAACAUACCUGUCAUAAAAGCAUUAUAUACAUUACUUCUACUGCUUGGCUAGCAGAUAUUCAGACACAAGGGUUAAAUAUUUUCAAGUAGUUUCUCAUGAGAACAGUUUCUCCUGAGAUAAAUAGAUAAAGGAAGAACUAAAUGGUGAAGAAAAAAUAGUAAUAAUUUUGUAAUAAACUUGUAAUUUUUGUAAAAAUUAGUAAUAAGUUUGUAUUUACUAUUUAUGACACUAAGUUUCUGUUUGCCGUUGAGUUCUAUUGAGGAUUUGAUGACAUUAAGGAAGCCAUUUGCUUAUGGAAUCACUCUCAUCCUUUCUCAUAUGCUCAUCUCCCAGGAGAGUUCUUCUUCUGAAGAUCUCUCAUCUACAG
rnacentral:lncRNA from 1 species